CUACGCCUUUUCGUUCUCUUCUUCUUCUUCUUCUUUCCCCCUUUUAUUUUUUGUUUUUUUCCCACUUUCGUUUGGUGUUCUUUAAUAAUGCCAGAGAGGAUUUCUCGUCCGCUUGUCGGGAGAUUCCGAGAAAAUGAAGGGGAUAGCGGGAUGGAUACUGUGACCGGAGGUGGAGGGUGGGUCGUUCUUGAUAUGGUGAUAUUCGGAAUUCAAGAUUUGGGGUUAACGAUCGGUUUUUUCGAUCGGUCCCGGCAAAAUGGAGAGUUACAGUGUGGGAGAGAUCGGCCCCGUUAAAUGGGGGGAUGCCCCUUUUGGGGAGUGUAACGAUUCCAUGAAUUUGCCCUAGGCGGGAGGGAUCGGUCUCGGUAAAUCAGGCUCGAUGGGUUCGCCUCGAUCCCUUGGUCUUUUUCCGAUUUGAACCCUUCACCAUUUUCCUUUCCUGGGGCUUCGGGUUUUGCAUCCGUCGGUCUAAUCUACAUCUGUUCCUGAAAGUGAAAUCCAAUGCCGGAAUUUUGCGACCAUGUCAUCAUCGAGCUCCCCGUGCGCAGCGUGCAAGCUGCAGAGGAGGAAGUGCACUCAGGAGUGCAUAUUCGCGCCUUACUUCCCGGCGGACCAGCCCCAGAAGUUUGCUUACAUCCACAAGGUAUUCGGGGCGAGCAAUGUCGCCAAGCUCCUGAGCGAGCUCGGCGUCCACCAGCGCGAAGAUGCCGUCCACUCCCUUGCCUAUGAGGCCGAGACCCGCCUUCGCGACCCAGUCUAUGGCUGCGUGGGUCUCAUUUCGAUCCUACAGCAGAAGCUGAGGCUCUUGCAGAACGAACUGACGAGUGCAAGGAAGGAGCUCGCCACCUACAUCGGUCCCCAGGCUAUGCUCCCAAUGCUCCCUGCUGGCCACCAGGCCGGCCCACCGGGAGCGUUUGCGCAGCACAUGGGCGGCACUGGACCAUCUUCAUCACUGGCUGUAACACCGUACAUGGGGGCAGUGCCUGUGCCCUUGCCGCCCCACCACCAACCCUCAGGGGCACUGGUGAUCCGUGAGCCACAGGCUCAGGCUCAGCACCAGCAGCAGCAGGUGGGGUUCGAUCCGCAUGGGCAUCAGAUAGUCGCUGCGGCAGCGGCACAUCAGGAGAUGUACCGUGGCCUCUACGAGCGGCAAAGGCAGCAGCAGGAGAUCAAGUUCAGUGGUGCUGGCGGGUUCGACGGGAUCAUGCUGGGCAAUGGGUAUAAUCACCCUGGGGCUGGAGGGGUGGCAGCUCAGGCAGCAGUCUCACCCUCACUGGCUCUCGGGGGUACAUUCGAGCCUGUGGCAGCUUACCAGAUUCACCAGCCAGGCGACCCCCACGCCCACCACGCCGGGAGCAGCAGCGGUGCCGCAUUCCACCACCAGCAUCCCGAUCAGCCUCACCACCAGCACAACUUCCAACCCCAUCUCUCCCUCCAGCCCCAGCAUCAGCAGACGAUGGUCCAUCAGCCAGAGCAGCAGGAACAGCAAGGUUCGGGCAGCGACGAGCGCAAGAGCUGCGUGGAAGGCCCUUCCUGUUGAUCCUCUUUGCUUCGUUCUUCACCAUCAGUUCCAUCUGCCGCUCUUUUUGCGUUACAUACUCUUUUAGGGACAUAAAAUGAACAGAACGGGAAUUUGUGGGUUAUAGAGCGAUAUUGACGACUCAUCUUCUUCAGCCUUUUGGGAAGCAAAAAUUCUUUUUUUCUUUUUUUAAUUAUUAUUUUUCUUUUCCUUUGGGAGACAGGACAGGGACAAACAUAUACAAAUCUAGGAAGCUUAGAACCGUGGAACGAUGAUGGUGCUGAUCUGAUCAUGUCUUGGAUCUUAUUUUUUGGUACAAAUUUUCCUUAAGCUCUCCUCUCAUUAAGGAAAAUGUAAAUCUCUGUAUGUAGGAAACAUGAACCCUCUUUUUC